rnacentral:rRNA from 1 species
CAAUGGGGGCAACCCUGAUCCAGCCAUGCCGCGUGAGUGAUGAAGGCCUUAGGGUCGUAAAGCUCUUUCGCCUGUGAAGAUAAUGACGGUAGCAGGUAAAGAAACCCCGGCUAACUCCGUGCCAGCAGCCGCGGUAAUACGGAGGGGGUUAGCGUUGUUCGGAAUUACUGGGCGUAAAGCGCACGUAGGCGGACUGGAAAGUUGGGGGUGAAAUCCCAGGGCUCAACCCUGGAACUGCCUCCAAAACUAUCAGUCUAGAGUUCGAGAGAGGUGAGUGGAAUUCCGAGUGUAGAGGUGAAAUUCGUAGAUAUUCGGAGGAACACCAGUGGCGAAGGCGGCUCACUGGCUCGAUACUGACGCUGAGGUGCGAAAGUGUGGGGAGCAAACAGGAUUAGAUACCCUGGUAGUCCACACCGUAAACGAUGAAUGCCAGUCGUCGGGUAGCAUGCUAUUCGGUGACACACCUAACGGAUUAAGCAUUCCGCCUGGGGAGUACGGUCGCAAGAUUAAAACUCA